GGUGGCCUAGUGGUUACAGCGUCCGCCUCGGAUGCGGGAGGUCGUGGGUUCGACCCAGGUGGAAUCA